UGACACCUGGCCUUAGAUCCAAGUGGCAGUAUCAAGCACCUCCCCUACUCCCAAAUUAUAAACUCCUUACCCAUCYCAAUGGUGAUGUGGCCUUUAAAACGGCUAAUUCCAUAAUGACCAUCCGUGGCCCGUGCCCUCCACUUUUUCUCCAAUACCCUCUACUCCUCUUCCUAUACGAAGACUGGCAGGUAACAAAAACCUGAUUAAAACCAAUGUCUUAUCACUCUCCACAGCCAAGGACACGGCUUGACCACGGUUCUCUGCAGCAUUAAUGGCAACCUUUCGGUUAGCCCGUAAUCAGGGGCCGUCACGCCCGGAAAUGAAAUCUCCAGCACAACCCACUUGGGACUACCGUAUCAUUUCCUUAAGUUGUGCCCGUCGCCAGCGCCGCGCGCACGACCCCGAGGAGACCGCCGCGGGCCCCGGGCACGGCUGCCUCGCCUCGGGCCUGCAGGUCACCCGCGCCGCUCGGCCACGCGGCGGGCCCGGUAGGAUCCCCGCGAGCGCGCCCUGCUCCAGGGCUGCCGCAACCGGCGCUCGGCACAACCCGAGGCGAAAGUCGGGCCAGUCGCCUCUGGGGACCGCGCUCGGGCGCAAGAGCGUGUCACCAGAAGGACCCCGGGCGGCCCCAGGCUGCAGCAGGGCACCGUCCCUCCAGCUUCAGACAUUAAAUGUGUGAGACCGUGACCACAGGGAUAUCCAGU
rnacentral:lncRNA from 1 species